GAUGAACGCUGGCUACAGGCUUAACACAUGCAAGUCGAGCGGAAACGCCGUGGGAGCUUGCUUCUCCGGGCGUCGACCGGCGCACGGGUGAGUAACGCGUAUCCAACCUGCCUCUGACUGAGGGAUAACCCGUCGAAAGUCCGCCUAAAACCCCAUGGCACUGUCUGCGGGCAUCCAACGACGAUUGACGUUUUCAGCUGUCAGGGAUGGGGAUGCGUCUGAUUAGCUUGGUGGCUGGGUAACGGCCCACCCAGGCGACGAUCAGUAGGGGUUCUGAGAGGAAGGUCCCCUACAUUGGAACCGAGACACGGACCAAACUCGUACGGGAGGGAGGAGUAAGGAAGAUUGGUCAAUGGACGAGAGCCUGACCCAGCCACGUAGCGGGCAGGAGGACGGCCCUAUGGGAUGUAAACUGCUGUUAUGCAAGGAUAAAGUGAGGGACGUGUCCUUUAUUGCAGGUACCGAAUGAAUAAGGACCGGCUAAUUCCGUG
rnacentral:rRNA from 1 species